rnacentral:rRNA from 1 species
GAUGAACGCUGGCGGCGUGCCUAAUACAUGCAAGUCGAGCGAACAGACGAGGAGCUUGCUCCUCUGACGUUAGCGGCGGACGGGUGAGUAACACGUGGAUAACCUACCUAUAAGACUGGGAUAACUUCGGGAAACCGGAGCUAAUACCGGAUAAUAUAUUGAACCGCAUGGUUCAAUAGUGAAAGACGGUUUUGCUGUCACUUAUAGAUGGAUCCGCGCCGCAUUAGCUAGUUGGUAAGGUAACGGCUUACCAAGGCAACGAUGCGUAGCCGACCUGAGAGGGUGAUCGGCCACACUGGAACUGAGACACGGUCCAGACUCCUACGGGAGGCAGCAGUAGGGAAUCUUCCGCAAUGGGCGAAAGCUUGACGGAGCAACGCCGCGUGAGUGAUGAAGGUCUUCCGAUCGUAAAACUCUGUUAUUAGGGAAGAACAAAUGUGUAAGUAACUAUGCACGUCUUGACGGUACCUAAUCAGAAAGCCACGGCGAACUACGU